CACGUAGGGCGCAAGCGUUGUCCGGAAUUAUUGGGCGUAAAGAGCUCGUAGGCGGUCUGUUACGUCUGCUGUGAAAACCCGGGGCUUAACCCUGGGCUUGCAGUGGAUACGGGCUGACUAGAGGCAGGUAGGGGAGAAUGGAAUUCCCGGUGUAGCGGUGAAAUGCGCAGAUAUCGGGAGGAACACCGGUGGCGAAGGCGGUUCUCUGGGCCUGACCUGACGCUGAGGAGCGAAAGCCAGGGGAGCAAACGGG
rnacentral:rRNA from 1 species